AUGAACAUGGUUCUUCUGUUAGUUAUACUGGAGAUCAUUCUGCUCUUUACGACACCAUCUGGAGGGCUGGUGGUUCCCUGUCCAUCGGGAAGGGACGGGGCCAACUGUCCCCCGUGUAACAGAAAGCCUUGUUGUUGUUGAAAGUUUAUGGGCUUCCGGGCCAUUUAAAAUUCCUGAUAAAUCACGGAGGUCCAUUAGUUGAUGCAUGGCAUGAGCAAAUUCAUUCUCUAUGAAGGGUAGUCGAGAAAAAUUAAUACAUAAGGCACUCCUCCACUGACAUAUGUUCCUCCCUGUAAUACAUGUAAUAUGAAUGCCCCUCGAUGUGAUACGAAUUUUCUUAGCAAUCUGGGAGCAUGUGUGGUAUCGUUC